rnacentral:rRNA from 1 species
GCGCGAAACCUCUGCAAUGCGCGAAAGCGUGACAGGGGAAGUCUGAGUGGCGGAAACUUAGUUUCCGUCUUUUGCCAAGUGUAAACAGCUUGGAGAAUAAGGGUGUGGGCAAACACAUCCUUAUGGUGUUUGACAGUCUAUAGGGAGUGGCCUAUGACUGGUGGCAGCCGCCGCGGUAACACCAGCGCCUCGAGUGGUACCCACGAAUAUUGGGCCUAAAGCGUCCGUAGCCGGACUGAUUAGUCCACUGUGAAAUGUUGGGGCUCAACCCUAACGCGUGCAGUGGAUACUGUCAGCCUUGGGAACGGGGGAGGGUCGGAGUACUUCCAGGGUAGGGGUAAAAUCCGUUGAGCCUGGAAGGACUACCAGUGGCGAAGGCGCCGAUCCAAAACGUAUCCGACGGUGAGGGACGAAAGCUGGGGGAGCGAACGGG